UACGGGGGGGGCAAGCGUUGUUCGGAUUUACUGGGCGUAAAGGGCUCGUAGGCGGCCAACUAAGUCAGACGUGAAAUCCCUCGGCUUAACCGGGGAACUGCGUCUGAUACUGGAUGGCUUGAGUUUGGGAGAGGGGUGCGGAAUUCCAGGUGUAGCGGUGAAAUGCGUAGAUAUCUGGAGGAACACCGGUGGCGAAGGCGGCAUCCUGGACCAACACUGACGCUGAGGAGCGAAAGCCAGGGGAGCAAACAGG
rnacentral:rRNA from 1 species